rnacentral:rRNA from 1 species
UACGGGGGGGGCAAGCGUUGUUCGGAAUUACUGGGCGUAAAGGGCGCGUAGGCGGCCAACUAAGUCGGAUGUGAAAUCCCCAGGCUCAACUUGGGAACUGCAUCCGAUACUGGUCGGCUUGAAUCCGGGAGAGGGAUGCAGAAUUCCAGGUGUAGCGGUGAAAUGCGUAGAUAUCUGGAGGAAUACCGGUGGCGAAGGCGGCAUCCUGGACCGGCAUUGACGCUGAUGUGCGAAAGCCAGGGGAGCAAAGCGGG